UACGUAGGGUGCGAGCGUUAAUCGGAAUUACUGGGCGUAAAGCGUGCGCAGGCGGUUUUGUAAGCCAGAUGUGAAAUCCCCGGGCUUAACCUGGGAAUGGCAUUUGGGACUGCAAGGCUGGAGUUUGGCAGAGGAGACUGGAAUUCCCGGUGUAGCAGUGAAAUGCGUAGAUAUCGUAAGGAAGGCCGGUGGCGAAAGCGAGCCUCUGGACAGUUACUGACGCUGAUGCACGAAGGCCAGGGGAGCAAACGGG
rnacentral:rRNA from 1 species